UUAAGUGUUGAAAGUGAGAUAUAGAAGGCAAAAUAGGUUAAGUAGUGGAAAAUAGUACAAUGUCGAUUACUAGUAUUUCGGUGUAAAAUUGAGUAUUUAUGGAUUUACCAAAUGUAAUCGAGGUAUGAUUAAGGUCUCAUUGAUGAUGUAAAAAUGGUUUUAGAACCAUUAGAUCAAUUCUUGAUGGGAGGUAUACAUAAUCAGUGGUAUUGAUGCAAAGUCAAAACGAGCUUAGCAUAAGUGCGCUACGCUCGAUCGGGUAAGCAUAACUAUUGGGUAUGAAGUCAUAUGGACCUAAGGUUUGGUAUGAGUGUUUUACACAUAAGGAUAAUAGGCCUAGCAGAUGAUUAAGUCGAAAUUAUUGAAGUGAUAAGGUUUUCAUAAGUCAAAAGGUGAAAUGAUGAGAUGAAAGGUGUCAACUUUUGACAAUAAGGCUAAAUCAUUGAAAAUAAGGAAUUUUCAUCAAACCUUAUCACUUUGCACGACCAUUAUUCUGAAAAACAGAGAGAAAAUAAAACCAAAAACCAUUUCUUGGCUGGUUUGAAGAAAUUCUAAGGAGAUCCAAGUGAAAGCAAAGCCAAAGAAGUAGAUUAAGCUUAGUUCUAGCCUUUUUAUGAUAUUUCUUGGGGUUUCCAAGUGGUUUGAGGUUUAGAAAAGCUUGAAGAGAUUGUUUUCGCCGAAAAGUUGCUCGGAUAAGCACAUCAAUACCUAAGACAUCACUUGUUACACGGUGAAAUAUAUUGUGGACAAAAGGUAAGUAAAGUACUCAACUGCAACACAAGAAUUAUGUGUUAUGUGAAAGUAUGCAUUAUAUGAAUAUUUUGUGAGUAAGUGGUAUUAACAUACAGUGACACUUCAUCAUAAAUUUGUAUGCAUGGCAUAAUAGUGAUAUGGUAAAUUAUUAUAUGAUAUAAGACCAUGCAUGAUAUUAUGAUGAUUAAUUAUAUGAUGCCUUUGCAAGUUUUGUGCAACAUAAAAGAAAGUUGUAAUAAGAAGUUUAAGUUCAGUACCACUGUUUUGAAAAGGCAAAUGAAAGUGUUAAUAAGUGUAAACGGAGGCCUAUAGUAGGCUUAUAGUGGCUGCCCAAUAAUUUGGGCUAGGUUUAGUGAACCAAUUAUAUUGUUUGCCAUAUUUCCGUUUUUAUUUCUCCUCCAUAUGAGUUAUUGUUAUAUGUAUUGACACCACAGUGUGUGGCCGCCUUAACUCUUGAGCCUGACGGGGCAACGAUGGAAUAAGGUUUUUAAUGUGCCCUACUGUGGUGAAGGCUAGCCGGAGGAGAACCCAUGGGAUUUUGUAUUAUAUGUGUAACAAGCCCUGCAGGCAUUGACCAAUUCAAACAGUGUGCACAAUAUUAAGGGGCCCAAAAUUUAAAAAGAAGUUGUAUAUGUCCAUUGAUAUUGGGUAAUCAUUAGCAUUGCAUGCAUUACUUUGCUUACUGAGCUUUAGGCUCACAGUUGUCUUGUGUUGCAG